UACGUAGGGAGCAAGCGUUGUCCGGAAUCAUUGGGCGUAAAGCGCGCGUAGGUGGCCUCAUAAGUCCGCUGUGAAAGUCAAAGGCUCAACCUUUGAAAGCCGGUGGAUACUGUGGGGCUAGAGUACGGAAGAGGCGAGUGGAAUUCCUGGUGUAGCGGUGGAAUGCGCAGAUAUCAGGAGGAACACCAAUAGCGAAGGCAGCUCGCUGGGACGUUACUGACACUGAGGCGCGAAAGCGUGAGGAGCGAACAGG
rnacentral:rRNA from 1 species